rnacentral:rRNA from 1 species
GACGAACGCUGGCGGCGUGCUUAACACAUGCAAGUCGAACGGAAAGGCCCUGCUUUUGUGGGGUGCUCGAGUGGCGAACGGGUGAGUAACACGUGAGUAACCUGCCCUUGACUUUGGGAUAACUUCAGGAAACUGGGGCUAAUACCGGAUAGGAGCUCCUGCUGCAUGGUGGGGGUUGGAAAGUUUCGGCGGUUGGGGAUGGACUCGCGGCUUAUCAGCUUGUUGGUGGGGUAGGGGCUUACCAAGGCUUUGACGGGUAGCCGGCCUGGGAGGGGGACCGGCCACCAUGGGACUGAGAUACGGCGCAGUCUCCUACGGGAGGCAGCAGUGGGGAAUAUUGCACAAUGGGCGGAAGCCUGAUGCAGCAACGCCGCGUGCGGGAUGACGGCCUUCGGGUUGUAAACCGCUUUCGCCUGUGACGAAGCGGGAGUGACGGUAAUGGGUAAAGAAGCACCGGCUAACUACGUG